GUUGCCUGAGUAACCGUAUGAUGGUGGUGGUGGUGGUGUCUUCCUGUCUCAACGAUACCUAUUUUCUAGUGCUGAGAUCCUGAGACAAUGAAUCAUAGUGAAAGAUUCGUUUUCAUUGCAGAGUGGUAUGAUCCAAAUGCUUCACUUCUUCGACGUUAUGAGCUUUUAUUUUACCCAGGGGAUGGAUCUGUUGAAAUGCAUGAUGUAAAGAAUCAUCGCACCUUUUUAAAGCGGACCAAAUAUGAUAACCUGCACUUGGAAGAUUUAUUUAUAGGCAACAAAGUGAAUGUCUUUUCUCGACAACUGGUAUUAAUUGACUAUGGGGAUCAAUAUACAGCUCGCCAGCUGGGCAGUAGGAAAGAAAAAACGCUAGCCCUAAUUAAACCAGAUGCAAUAUCAAAGGCUGGAGAAAUAAUUGAAAUAAUAAACAAAGCUGGAUUUACUAUAACCAAACUCAAAAUGAUGAUGCUUUCAAGGAAAGAAGCAUUGGAUUUUCAUGUAGAUCACCAGUCAAGACCCUUUUUCAAUGAGCUGAUCCAGUUUAUUACAACUGGUCCUAUUAUUGCCAUGGAGAUUUUAAGAGAUGAUGCUAUAUGUGAAUGGAAAAGACUGCUGGGACCUGCAAACUCUGGAGUGGCACGCACAGAUGCUUCUGAAAGCAUUAGAGCCCUCUUUGGAACAGAUGGCAUAAGAAAUGCAGCGCAUGGCCCUGAUUCUUUUGCUUCUGCGGCCAGAGAAAUGGAGUUGUUUUUUCCUUCAAGUGGAGGUUGUGGGCCGGCAAACACUGCUAAAUUUACUAAUUGUACCUGUUGCAUUGUUAAACCCCAUGCUGUCAGUGAAGGACUGUUGGGAAAGAUCCUGAUGGCUAUCCGAGAUGCAGGUUUUGAAAUCUCAGCUAUGCAGAUGUUCAAUAUGGAUCGGGUUAAUGUUGAGGAAUUCUAUGAAGUUUAUAAAGGAGUAGUGACCGAAUAUCAUGACAUGGUGACAGAAAUGUAUUCUGGCCCUUGUGUAGCAAUGGAGAUUCAACAGAAUAAUGCUACAAAGACAUUUCGAGAAUUUUGUGGACCUGCUGAUCCUACCCCCAAAUCUCCAAUUUCUCACAAGUGAAUUUAGGCAAACUAAAGAAGACAUCUCUGUUCCGAAAUUGCCCGGCAUUUACGCCCUGGAACUCUCAGAGCAAUCUUUGGUAAAACUAAGAUCCAGAAUGCUGUUCACUGUACUGAUCUGCCAGAGGAUGGCCUAUUAGAGGUUCAAUACUUCUUCAAGAUCUUGGAUAAUUAGUGGUGUGGAAAGUAAAGAAGUCACAGGUUGGGACAUUUAGACAAGAGUGAAUCACACACGAGGAAUGUGUUCAUUCUUUUAUUGUCCGUUGUUUUAACCUGACUGAAUACAAGAUCAACAAGAGCACUGUACUCCUGGCAAUUAUUACAUAUGUUAGAACAUGGAUUUUGCACUGUAGACAACAUUUAACACCAGUCUAUGGGGUACUGCAUUGCUUUUUAUAAAGUUCAAAAUAAAGAUUUAUUUUCAAACAA